rnacentral:lncRNA from 1 species
GGCCGGUACAUAUAAGAAAUUUAUUUUACCACAACAAGUUGGUACAACAUAAGACCGAAAAUCCUCACAUCCACGGUUCAAACAUAGUUCCACGAGAAAAGAAAUUGGAAACUUUUACUUAAUUUUGUACAGCCACGAAGCAACGGUUCGAUAACAUGUAUUUUGGUGGGUGUGUCCCAACGAGAGUGUAUUCAUCGGUGUAAGAUUAUCACCUCUUGGGAUGGGUGACUCAUGCAUGUUGUGGUUAGUUUAUUUGUGCAAGUGUUGUUUUCUGCAUUCUCUUAUCUGGGUGAACGGCAACAUGUGAUUGUCAGAGCUAGAGUUUGCUUCCACUUUGUAGUGUUUUUGGUGUAGUUGUUGAGUUUUUCCUUUUCGGUUCUUGAUUCUGUUUUUUUUUUGGCAAGAUUCUGCUUCUUUUUCAUAUUUGUACUCCUCCGUAUUUCAUGACGGAGGGAGUAGCAUCUUUACUUGAUCGAUAAAAUCCGAUCGUUGCAGCAGCAGUAGAGCCAGAGAUCCCAUUUUUGGCGAGCUCUAAUCUGAUGCGAACAACGUACGUGUUGAUGUUGCAUGUGCCCCUGGACUUCUUUAAUCUUUAAUGGAUCAAUCAUGUGAGCCUCUACUCCGUCAUACUAAUGAAGUAUGUGCCUCCCCAAUCUCGAUCAUCGAACCAAUCAUGUGAUCAACAUCAUCGAUCGAUGAAGUUUAACUUUGAUUUAUUUUUUAAUGCCUGCCCGUUUUGAAAUUAGUUUUUUUCAAUAGUUGUUCAAUUAUCCACAAAAAAAUAGUGUUGUGUACCACUACUACUAGUGUAUGGAUUGCUUGGAUUUGCAACUCACUUUUUCUGUUUUUGCAGUAUCGAUUCUGUCGCACCUAGAUUUUUAGUCCAUGCUUCGCCCCUGGAUCGUUGGUCUUUUGGAGUUCCUUUGAGACGGGGGGAGGUUAAAUAGAGCAGAUAAUGUCCCUAGCGACAAAAACUUUGUUUAAUAGCGA